rnacentral:rRNA from 1 species
CCUACGGGUGGCAGCAGUGAGGAAUAUUGGUCAAUGGGCGCGAGCCUGAACCAGCCAAGUAGCGUGAAGGAUGACUGCCCUACGGGUUGUAAACUUCUUUUAUAAAGGAAUAAAGUGAGGCACGUGUGCCUUUUUGUAUGUACUUUAUGAAUAAGGAUCGGCUAACUCCGUGCCAGCAGCCGCGGUAAUACGGGGGAUCCGAGCGUUAUCCGGAUUUAUUGGGUUUAAAGGGUGCGUAGGCGGAUUUUUAAGUCAGCGGUAAAAUGUUCGGGCUCAAGCCGGGCCUGCAGUUGAAACUGUGUAUCUUGAGGGGGGGAGAGGUAUGCGGAAGGCGUGGUGUAGCGGUGAAAUGCAUAGAUAUAACGAAGAACUCCGAUUGCGAAGGCAGCAUACCGGAGCCCGACUGACGCUGAGGCACGAAAGCGUGGGGAUCGAACAGGAUUAGAUACCCUGGUAGUC